AUUGAACGCUGGCGGCAGGCCUAACCCAUGCAAGUCGAACGAUUGGCGGACGGGUGAGUAAUGUCUGGGACACUUCCUGAUGGAGGGGGAUAACUACUGGAAACGGGCACUUAUACACCAUACACUCGGAUGUGCACAGAUUGGAUUAGCUAGUAGGUAGGGUAAAGGCUCACCUAGGCGACGAUCCCUAGCUGGUCUGAGAGGAUGACCAGCCACACUGGAACUGAGAGACGGUCCAGACUCCUACGGGAGGCAGCAGUGGGGAAUAUUGCACAAUGGGCGCAAGCCUGAUGCAGCCAUGCCGCGUGUAUGAAGAAGGCCUUCGGGUUGUAAAGUACUUUCAGCGGGGAGGCGUUACCCGCAGAAGAAGCACCGGCUAACUCCGUGCCAGCAGCCGCGGUAAUAC
rnacentral:rRNA from 1 species